AAUUUUGGGCAAUGGGCGAAAGCCUGACCCAGCAACGCCGCGUGAAGGAUGAAAUCCCUCGGGAUGUAAACUUCGCAAGAACAGGAAGAAUAAGUGGGGGUUAAUAUCCUCCAUGAUGACGGUACUGUUUGUAAGCUCCGGCUAACUCCGUGCCAGCAGCCGCGGUAAUACGGGGGGAGCAAGCGUUGUUCGGGUUUACUGGGCGUAAAGGGCGGGUAGGCGGCCACCGCAAGUCGACUGUGAAAUCUCCGGGCUUAACCCGGAAAGGUCAGCCGAUACUGCGGGGCUAGAGUGCAGAAGGGGCAACUGGAAUUCUCGGUGUAGCGGUGAAAUGCGUAGAUAUCGAGAGGAACACCUGCGGCGAAGGCGGGUUGCUGGGCUGACACUGACGCUGAACUGCGAAAGCUAGGGGAGCGAAC
rnacentral:rRNA from 1 species